rnacentral:rRNA from 1 species
GGUUAAGCGACUAAGCGUACACGGUGGAUGCCCUGGCAGUCAGAGGCGAUGAAGGACGUGCUAAUCUGCGAUAAGCGUCGGUAAGGUGAUAUGAACCGUUAUAACCGGCGAUUUCCGAAUGGGGAAACCCAGUGUGUUUCGACACACUAUCAUUAACUGAAUCCAUAGGUUAAUGAGGCGAACCGGGGGAACUGAAACAUCUAAGUACCCCGAGGAAAAGAAAUCAACCGAGAUUCCCCCAGUAGCGGCGAGCGAACGGGGAGCAGCCCAGAGCCUGAAUCAGUGUGUGUGUUAGUGGAAGCGUCUGGAAAGGCGCGCGAUACAGGGUGACAGCCCCGUACACAAAAAUGCACAUACUGUGAGCUCGAUGAGUAGGGCGGGACACGUGGUAUCCUGUCUGAAUAUGGGGGGACCAUCCUCCAAGGCUAAAUACUCCUGACUGACCGAUAGUGAACCAGUACCGUGAGGGAAAGGCGAAAAGAACCCCGGCGAGGGGAGUGAAAAAGAACCUGAAACCGUGUACGUACAAGCAGUGGGAGCACGCUUCGGCGUGUGACUGCGUACCUUUUGUAUAAUGGGUCAGCGACUUAUAUUCUGUAGCAAGGUUAACCGAAUAGGGGAGCCGAAGGGAAACCGAGUCUUAACUGGGCGUUAAGUUGCAGGGUAUAGACCCGAAACCCGGUGAUCUAGCCAUGGGCAGGUUGAAGGUUGGGUAACACUAACUGGAGGACCGAACCGACUAAUGUUGAAAAAUUAGCGGAUGACUUGUGGCUGGGGGUGAAAGGCCAAUCAAACCGGGAGAUAGCUGGUUCUCCCCGAAAGCUAUUUAGGUAGCGCCUCGUGAAUUCAUCUCCGGGGGUAGAGCACUGUUUCGGCAAGGGGGUCAUCCCGACUUACCAACCCGAUGCAAACUGC